UACAGAGGGUGCGAGCGUUGUCCGGAAUUACUGGGCGUAAAGCGCGCGUAGGCGGCUUUGCAAGUCGGGUGUGAAAUCCCCAAGCUUAACUUGGGAACUGCAUUCGAGACUGCAUUGCUAGAGUAUGGGAGAGGGAAGUGGAAUUUCCGGUGUAGCGGUGAAAUGCGUAGAUAUCGGAAGGAACAUCAGUGGCGAAAGCGACUUCCUGGACCAAUACUGACGCUCAUGUGCGAAAGCGUGGGGAGCAAACAGG
rnacentral:rRNA from 1 species